UACGUAGGGGGCAAGCGUUGUCCGGAAUCAUUGGGCGUAAAGAGCGCGUAGGCGGUCCGAUAAGUCGGUUGUGAAAACUGGGGGCUCAACCUCGAGACGCCGAUGGAAACCAUCGAACUAGAGUCCGGAAGAGGAGAGUGGAAUUCCUGGUGUAGCGGUGAAAUGCGUAGAUAUCUGGAGGAACACCGGUGGCGAAGGCGGCAUCCUGGACCAACACUGACGCUGAGGAGCGAAAGCCAGGGGAGCAAACGGG
rnacentral:rRNA from 1 species